rnacentral:rRNA from 1 species
GGGCCCGCGGCCUAUCAGCUUGUUGGUGGGGUAAUGGCCUACCAAGGCGACGACGGGUAGCCGGCCUGAGAGGGCGACCGGCCACACUGGGACUGAGACACGGCCCAGACUCCUACGGGAGGCAGCAGUGGGGAAUAUUGCACAAUGGGCGCAAGCCUGAUGCAGCGACGCCGCGUGAGGGAUGACGGCCUUCGGGUUGUAAACCUCUUUCAGCAGGGACGAAGCGCAAGUGACGGUACCUGCAGAAGAAGCACCGGCCAACUACGUGCCAGCAGCCGCGGUAAUACGUAGGGUGCAAGCGUUGUCCGGAAUUACUGGGCGUAAAGAGCUCGUAGGCGGUUUGUCGCGUCGUCUGUGAAAACCAGCAGCUCAACUGUUGGCUUGCAGGCGAUACGGGCAGACUUGAGUAUUUCAGGGGAGACUGGAAUUCCUGGUGUAGCGGUGAAAUGCGCAGAUAUCAGGAGGAACACCGGUGGCGAAGGCGGGUCUCUGGGAAAUAACUGACGCUGAGGAGCGAAAGCGUGGGUAGCGAACAGGAUUAGAUACCCUGGUAGUCCACGCCGUAAACGGUGGGCGCUAGGUGUGGGUUUCCUUC